AGAGUUUGAUCCUGGCUCAGGACGAACGCUGGCGGCGUGCCUAACACAUGCAAGUCGAGCGGAGACAGUGAGUAGCUUGCUAUGAGCUGUUUUAGCGGCGGACGGGUGAGUAACGCGUGAGCAACCUUUCCCAGACAGGGGAAUAACACACCGAAAGGUGUACUAAUACCGCAUAAGACCACGGGAUCACAUGGUUCUGGGGUAAAAGAUUUAUCGGUUUGGGUGGU
rnacentral:rRNA from 1 species